GUGGAUCAAAAGCAGCCACUGUGGUGCAAUUCUGCCAUGACCAUGGCCGGAAAAGUAGCUACUCUUUGGUUGAGUCAAGUGCAGUGGCAGUCAGCUUAUUCAUUCCUCCAGCCAGGAGCGAGCAAGAGUUCGCAUUAGGUUAGAGUUUGGGCCUGGGCUUGAGGUCGGGUUCGGGAUCGAGUUCGGGCUCGGGUUGCAGUUCCACUUUUAGUUCCGGCUGCCUUGGCGACAGAAAGCCAAU
rnacentral:lncRNA from 1 species